rnacentral:rRNA from 1 species
CAGGCCUAACACAUGCAAGUCGAGCGCUUGGGGUGUUCCCUUACGGGAAACCCCCUGGAGCGGCGGACGGGUGAGUAACACGUAGGCAACCUGCCUGUAAGAUCGGGAUAACUACCGGAAACGGUAGCUAAGACCGGAUAGCUGGUUUCUCCGCAUGGGGGAAUCAUGAAACACGGGGCAACCUGUGGCUUACGGAUGGGCCUGCGGCGCAUUAGCUAGUUGGUGGGGUAAUGGCCCACCAAGGCGACGAUGCGUAGCCGACCUGAGAGGGUGAUCGGCCACACUGGGACUGAGACACGGCCCAGACUCCUACGGGAGGCAGCAGUAGGGAAUCUUCCGCAAUGGGCGCAAGCCUGACGGAGCAACGCCGCGUGAGUGAUGAAGGUUUUCGGAUCGUAAAGCUCUGUUGCAAAGGAAGAACGCCUCGGAGAGUAACUGCUCUGAGGGUGACGGUACUUGAGAAGAAAGCCCCGGCUAACUACGUGCCAGCAGCCGCGGUAAUACGUAGGGGGCAAGCGUUGUCCGGAAUUAUUGGGCGUAAAGCGCGCGCAGGCGGUCUUUUAAGUUUGGUGUUUAAGCCCGGGGCUCAACCCCGGUUCGCACUGAAAACUGGGAGACUUGAGUGCAGGAGAGGAAAGCGGAAUUCCACGUGUAGCGGUGAAAUGCGUAGAGAUGUGGAGGAACACCAGUGGCGAAGGCGGCUUUCUGGACUGUAACUGACGCUGAGGCGCGAAAGCGUGGGGAGCAAAC